GCCAGUGAUGAACUGCCAACUUCUUAGAGGGUGCAGUUAGCUCAAGUGCCUGUUUAUCAGGCAUGAACCUACUUGCAGCUGCUGCAUUCGAAUGAUAAUAGCUGGCUUUCUGAGGU
rfam:Oryza brachyantha chromosome 6, whole genome shotgun sequence.